rfam:Schistosoma mansoni strain Puerto Rico chromosome W, complete genome
GUCUAGCCGAUGAGUCGCAAAUAAGAUGAAACGCAUGUCCUGAAU